ACGUAGGGGGCGAGCGUUAUUCGGAAUUACUGGGUGUAAAGGGUAUGUAGGCGGCCCUUCAAGUCGCGUGUCAAAGCCCAGUGCUCAACGCUGGGUGUGCGCGCGAUACUGACGGGCUUGAGGGCUGGAGAGGUGAGCGGAAUUCACGGUGUAGUGGUGAAAUGCGUAGAUAUCAGGAGGAACACCAGUGGCGCAGGCGGCUCACUAGACAGUUACUGACGCUAAGAUGCGAAAGCGUGGGGAGCAAACAG
rnacentral:rRNA from 1 species